GUCCUAGCUGUAAACGGUGCAUAUUUGCUGUAAAAGGAAUCGACCCCUUUUGUGGCGAAGCUAACGCGAUAAAUAUGCCGCCUGGGAAGUACGGUCGCAAGAUUAAAACUCAAAGAAAUUGACGGGGGCCUGCACAAGCGGUGGAGUAUGUGGCUUAAUUCGAUGCAACGCGAAGAACCUUACCUGGGCUUGACAUGUAUGUAGUAGAACCGUGAAAGCGGGACGAGGUAGCAAUACCAGCAUACACAGGUGCUGCAUGGCUGUCGU
rnacentral:rRNA from 1 species